AAUUACCUCAUUAGUCCUGACAACACCUGCUAAGGAGGCAGAAUGGCUCUCUCCACACCGGAAACGGAGACACCCAGAGCAUUGCAACCUUGGGUGCACAGUGGUACCACCUGAGGACCUUUCAGUAGUUCUGACCAUCUCCCUCUCCUGCUUAAAACAUUUGAGAUAAAGGCUCAAAUUCUUAACGGCCUACACUACAAGAUCCCCUUCCUCCUCCCAGCCUCGUUUUGUAUCAGUCAGCCCUCAGUCUCAGAGUGCUGCCGUCCUGACUCUCUGGAAUGCUGUUCCCGCCUCACGGCCUUUGCGGACUGACCACAGUUCUCAUCCCAUUUGUCUGGUGGACGCCUACUCGUUCUUUAGGUCUUAACGUAGUGCUGCUGAUUACAAAAGUGGCCACCCUCUUCUUGUCUGCAAUCCUUGCAUGUGACUUUGCAGCUCUUCCCACAGAGGGGCGAAGUCUCUUGCUGGCCUUGUGACUUGCCUUGGGUGAUAGAAUGCCACAGAAGGGCGGUGGUGCCAGUUCUGAGCCUGAGCCGCAGGAGGCCUAGCAGGCUUCCACUUGCUCUCUCAGAGCCCUGGGAAUAAGCUGCCUUCUGCAGGAUCACAGCUGAGGCCAUCCUAGACCAGCUGACUCCCAGCUGACCUGCAAGCUGACCACAAACUCAUGGAGAAGCCAAGUUGAGAUCAUAGCCCAGAACCAGAUCAGCAGAACCUCUCAAUCGAUCCGCAGAUUUGUGAAGAAUAAUAAAUAGGUGUUGCUUUAACCCA